rnacentral:lncRNA from 1 species
ACCCAGCUAGCGCACCGGAGCUGUAGCGCCCUCACCAGAACACCGACUGCUUCUCCUAUGGCCUCGCCAUUCUCUAUGAAACCAGUCAUAACAAGUUCACAGAAAAGGAAAGAGGGGAGGGAUAAGAGCCUGUCUCUUGGCCUCCAAACAAACCCAGACACAGAUUUACUCCAAACCACACAACAAUGAUGAGACUGUCUCUGAUGCGUGGCUGUGGGGCUCUGCUCUGGUUCUUCAGCAGCUCCAUUAAAAGAAGAAGAAAAGAACAAGGUGGUGGAGGAGAAGGAGGACAAGCAGAAGCAGAGGCAGAAGCAGGAGCAGGAGAAGAAGAAAAAGA